GUGGGGAAUAUUGCACAAUGGGGGAAACCCUGAUGCAGCGACGCCGCGUGAGUGAAGAAGUAUUUCGGUAUGUAAAGCUCUAUCAGCAGGGACGAAAGGAGUCUGUAAGGACUCUGUGACGGUACCUGACUAAGAAGCCCCGGCUAACUACGUGCCAGCAGCCGCGGUAAUACGUAGGGGGCAAGCGUUAUCCGGAUUUACUGGGUGUAAAGGGAGCGUAGACGGUGAUGUAAGUCAGAUGUGAAAGCCCGGGGCUCAACCCCGGGACUGCAUUUGAAACUAUGUUGCUAGAGUGCAGGAGAGGUAAGUGGAAUUCCUAGUGUAGCGGUGAAAUGCGUAGAUAUUAGGAGGAACACCAGUGGCGAAGGCGGCUUACUGGACUGUAACUGACGUUGAGGCUCGAAAGCGUGGGGAGCAAACAGGAUUAGAUACCCGUGUAGUCC
rnacentral:rRNA from 1 species